rnacentral:rRNA from 1 species
AUCGAACGCUGGCGGCGUGGCUAAGACAUGCAAGUCGCACGGGAACGUCCCUUCGGGGGCUAGUACAGUGGCGAAAGGGCGAGGAAUGCAUGGGUAACGUACCUAGAGCACGAGGAUAGCCGCGGGAAACUGCGGGUAAUACUCGAUGAGACCACUCACUGUCACAUGGCAGAGCGGUCAAAGGGUGGGGAUCCUUCGGGACCUACUGGCUCUGGAGCGGCCCAUGUCCUAUCAGCUAGUUGGUGAGGUAACGGCUCACCAAGGCUUCGACGGGUACCGGGACUGAGAGGUUGACCCGGCGCAUUGGGACUGAGACACUGCCCAGACUCCUACGGGAGGCUGCAGUAACGAAUCUUCCGCAAUGGGCGAAAGCCUGACGGAGCGACGCCGCGUGUGGGAUGAAGAUCUUCGGAUUGUAAACCACUGUCAGGGAUCACCAAGCGAAGAGGGCUAACAUCCCUCGGAGUUGAGGAGUCCCAGAGGAAGCCACGG